rnacentral:rRNA from 1 species
AAGGAAUUGACGGGGACCCGCACAAGUAGCGGAGCAUGUGGUUUAAUUCGAAGCAACGCGAAGAACCUUACCUAAGCUUGACAUCCCAAUGACAUCUCCUUAAUCGGAGAGUUCCCUUCGGGGACAUUGGUGACAGGUGGUGCAUGGUUGUCGUCAGCUCGUGUCGUGAGAUGUUGGGUUAAGUCCCGCAACGAGCGCAACCCUUGUCUUUAGUUGCCAUCAUUAAGUUGGGCACUCUAGAGAGACUGCCAGGGAUAACCUGGAGGAAGGUGGGGAUGACGUCAAAUCAUCAUGCCCCUUAUGCUUAGGGCUACACACGUGCUACAAUGGGUAGUACAGAGGGUUGCCAAGCCGUAAGGUGGAGCUAAUCCCUUAAAGCUACUCUCAGUUCGGAUUGUAGGCUGAAACUCGCCUACAUGAAGCUGGAGUUACUAGUAAUCGCAGAUCAGAAUGCUGCGGUGAAUGCGUUCCCGGGUCUUGUACACACCGCCCGUCACACCACGGGAGUUGGAGACGCCCGAAGCCGAUUAUCUAACCUUUUGGAAGAAGUCGUCGAAGGUGGAAUCAAUAACUGGGGUGAAGUCGUAACAAGGUAGCCGUAUCGGAAGGUG